AAAGUUACUACACAACACCCCCUUCCUCUCCAAUCCCCAAAUUCUCUCUCCUCUCUCUCUCUCUCUCUCUCUCCUCCUCCUCGUGCAAACCCUCCUCCGCCAUGAACCACCACCACCACGGCAAUCCUCCUCCGCCGCCUCCGGCGCCGCCGAUCGUCCGCCACACGACCACGGCACAAAUCCUGAAGCACACGGCUUCGGUAUUCUACUCUCACCUCGUCACUUUCGUGUUCCUCUCCACCCUCCUCCUCACCUUCCGUUCCAACGUCCUCAGCGCCUCUCACUACCUCUCCUCGCUCAUCGACCGCGACCCUUCCCUCAAAUCUCUCCUCUCUCGCCUCGAUUUCUCCGCCCCCUCCCAUCUCCACCCCCACCCCCACCCUCGCCAUCAGCCUCCGUACAAUCGUCGCCGCCGCGCUUUUCUGCAUCUCUCCAGAGUCGGAACCCUCGACGACGAUUUCUUCUCCGGAGAUUCCGAUUUCGACCGCUCUCUGUUCUACCCCUCUUCUAGAAAGCCCCCUCCCAACGCUACCUUCUUCAUUCUCUCCGAUUUCAACCCUGAUUACGGCUUUUCCAGUUCCGUCAUCGAUAACGGUGUUUCUUUCCCUAAAGUUGUCAAACCUGGCGGUGUUAGUUUCAAGCCGGAGUUCAGGAAGAAUGUCACGGUUCUGGAAGAUGAGGAACGAAAAUUUGUGGAGAGCAGAUUGGAUGAUAGCAAUGCAGUCGUAGAUUUAGAUUUCUUGAUCAAGGGUUUUGAGUUGGGGCAUCGUGAUGCGACUUCCUUGGUUAUUUUAGCAGGCGUUUUGUCCGCCACUUAUGCUUACGUUGUCUUGGCGUUCAUAGUUGCUUACACUUGGGUUAAUGGAAUAAUUUUCCUCAAAGUGGUGGAUCAUUUGGUCGGGAAGUACAGGUCCUUCUGGCGCACCUUUUGGGAUGGAUCAAAUCUGGGGCUCAAGAGGCUGUCCGGAUUUAUUCUGAUGAAAUGGGCUGUUAGGGAUGCUCUUGCGCAGCUGAUGGGGAUAUUUUUUUUCGGGGAAAUUGAAGAUCAGUAUGUGUUUUUCAAGGUUUUUUUGAGGAUGAAGUUUAUGCCGUUUGCUAAUGUUGCACCUUGGGUAGUAGGGCACGAGUGGGAGAGUUCUGGGUUCAUUGUGGUGUGGUUCUUGAGUGAUUUGAUGCUUGGUUUUAUCUUUGCUGUGGAUUCGUGGGUUGCAAUUGUGGAUUCGAGGAGAGGUGGUAGGGAGAUUGUUAAGGAAGGUUGUCAUAUGUUGGUAGCAUUAUUUUGCCCUGCCUUUGAGAUAAGGUGGUUGGAAGCAAUCAUUUGUGGAUCAGUUGGGAGGUGGAUUUUGAGGAAGAUGUUUGGAGAGGUUUCGACAUUGGUUAUUCAGUCGUUAAUGGAGGUGUACUUCAUGGUGGCGUGGCUGAUCUUUUACUUUGCAGCUAGGCAUAAGGAUGAUGCUUCCCUUGGAAGGACAUUUGGACGAAGAGAAUUGGAACGUCUUGUUGAGAUUGCUAGUUUGGCGAAGAAUCAGGCAAACACAAAAAGUUCGCUUGGAGAAUGCAAAAUUAUAGAUGAAGAAUGAGCAGAAGGUAGUAAUAAUUGGUCAGCAAUGGAAGUCAACAUAGCUCAAAAAAGAAUACAAUCGAAAUCAAGAGGAGAGGGACCAAGGGACCAUAUUGUAGCAGGCCUCUUUUAAUAUUUCACCUGCAUUAUGUUUGAUCCAUUAUGUGUGUGAUAGAAUUCCGUAACUUUUAUGGAUUUAUGAUGCUCUGUGGAUUCACCUUUGUUUUGUUGUGACGGUUGUUGUUUUCAUAAUCCCUACUCUUCAAAUUUUGGUUUUGAAAUAGAAGCUCAUUUGAAAUUAAUGUUGAAAUCUGGAAGUGCGAAAAUAUUAUUGCUGUUCCUUCUAAAGCACAAAGAAUGCAUCUCAGUUACGCCUUUAUGUGAGUUUAUCACAUUCAUGUUCAUGUAAGUAAAGAGCUUUUCUUCCCCAGUUUAUCCCCCCUCCUUGAGAAAAAUGUAUUGUUCUACAAAUUUUGACGAAUUAAUAUGCAAUAACAUUUUUAUUUGAUGGAUCUAAUAGUAUGGCCUCUUUGUCACUGGAUAAUUUAUUUGUGAUUACAGCUUCGUUAUGAUAUAUUAUUAGUUAAUACAUACCACACUUGAAUAGAUUCUACAAUAGGCUAUUGAUUUUAUCCAUAUUUACUAACAAGGGUUAAAAUGGCAAAGAAUUAAAUCUUGCCGCAGGAGUUGCAGAAGAAUUCCCUCAAGCAGAUGGGAAGUUGUCGACAUGGUUGGGAUUUGGCACAUUGAACUACUCUGAGGAAGAUAGUCUCAUCACAGGGUAUACAAAGUCUCGAGCUAGCUGUGAAACCAUACACUUCCCUAGCAUGAUCCAGCAAUGCCUGGAAGAGCGGGUGCUUCAGUAAGUAGCAGCAUAAGCUUUCAUGGACACAAAUAAGAAGCCCCGAUCAUGAUCAUGAUCAUGGCCAUCAUGGGUGCUCAACCGCUCAAGGACCGACGUGGAAGAAGAAAUUCUAGUGGUUGGAGAGAGAGGAGAGUGGGGAUCCCCCCCUAAUAAAGCACAUGAGGGUAGGGUAGGGAAGGGUAGGGCCAUGUUGUACUUAGGAGACAUGUUGCAUGUUGCUGACACCUCAAGCCAGCAUAUCAUCUAUCAUCGUCUUCUUUUCAUCCUAGCAUAGCAUACUUUCUGGGCUGGUCAAUGAAGCCCAUACUAUACUGGAUGAUACUCAAAUGUCUUAAAGAAAACAACUCUCCAAACCUGACGUGUUCAAGUCAAUCGACCACAAGUCAAGGCUGGCUGUGUUGUGUGUGGUCUUUCCAUUUACCAUUUACCA